rnacentral:lncRNA from 1 species
CGUUCUUGCCUUCUUGAUCGGACGUGGAGGGAGCGGCGGCGGCUCAUGUACGAGCCUGCGUCUCCUCUUCGUUUUCGUUCUUGCCUUCUUGGUCGGAGGUGGAGGAGGGGGCGACGUCGACGGCAGCGGCAGCGGCCCGGCCGCCGCCUCGCCGUCGUCGUCGUCGUCAUCCGCAAUGCAAGACGGCCACGGCGGGGACGACAUCCUUUUCUUGCCGGCCUGCAGGUCGUCCGAGCGUGGGCUCGAGAACUGCAUCGAUGCCUGCUGCUCCUGCUGCUCGGGCGCGGCACAGAGCGCCUGGAGCGCCUCGUCGCAGAACAGUGCCUGAAUUUCCUCGUCG